rnacentral:rRNA from 1 species
GUCUAUAGCCAUGCCACCCUGAACAAGCCCGAUGUCUGAUCUCAGAAGUUAAGCAGGGUCAGUUCUGGUUAGUACUUGGAUGGGAGACCACCUAGGAAGACCAGGUGCUGUAGGCA